rnacentral:rRNA from 1 species
AUUGAACGCUGGCGGCAUGCUUUACACAUGCAAGUCGGACGGCAGCACAGAGAAGCUUGCUUCUUGGGUGGCGAGUGGCGAACGGGUGAGUAAUAUAUCGGAACGUACCGAGUAAUGGGGGAUAACUAAUCGAAAGAUUAGCUAAUACCGCAUAUUCUCUGAGGAGGAAAGCAGGGGACCUUCGGGCCUUGCGUUAUUCGAGCGGCCGAUAUCUGAUUAGCUAGUUGGUGGGGUAAAGGCCUACCAAGGCGACGAUCAGUAGCGGGUCUGAGAGGAUGAUCCGCCACACUGGGACUGAGACACGGCCCAGACUCCUACGGGAGGCAGCAGUGGGGAAUUUUGGACAAUGGGCGCAAGCCUGAUCCAGCCAUGCCGCGUGUCUGAAGAAGGCCUUCGGGUUGUAAAGGACUUUUGUCAGGGAAGAAAAGGCUGUUGCUAAUAUCGACAGCUGAUGACGGUACCUGAAGAAUAAGCACCGGCUAACUACG